rnacentral:rRNA from 1 species
CUACGGGGUGCAGCAGUGAGGAAUAUUGGUCAAUGGGGGAAACCCUGAACCAGCGACGCCGCGUGUGGGAUGACGGAGCUUCGCUCUGUAAACCACUGUCAGGAGGGAAGAAAACCCCGCUCAGCGGGAUGGGACUGUACCUCCAGAGGAAGGAUCGGCUAACUACGGGCCAGCAGCCGCGGUAAUACGUAGGAUCCAAGCGUUGUCCGGAAUUACUGGGUGUAAAGGGUGCGCAGGCGGACUUGUGCGUCAGAGGUUAAAUGUCACCGCUCAGCGGUGAACCUGCCUUUGAUACGGCGAGUCUUGAGUACGAGAGAGGUAGGUAGAAUUCCUGGUGUAGCGGUGAAAUGCGUAGAUAUCAGGAGGAAUACCAGUGGCGAAGGCGGCCUACUGGCUCGUAACUGACGCUCAUGCACGAAAGCGUGGGUAGCGAACAGGAUUAGAUACCCCGGUAGUC